rnacentral:misc_RNA from 1 species
GAUGGAAGAACGCAGCGAAAUGCGAUAAGUAAUGUGAAUUGCAGAAUUCAGUGAAUCAUCGAAUCUUUGAACGCACAUUGCGCCCGCCAGCAUUCUGGCGGGCAUGCCUGUUCGAGCGUCAUUUCAACCCUCGAGCCCCCCCGGGGGCCUCGGUGUUGGGGGACGGCACACCAGCCGCCCCCGAAAUGCAGUGGCGACCCCGCCGCAGCCUCCCCUGCGUAGUAGCACACACCUCGCACCGGAGCGCGGAGGCGGUCACGCCGUAAAACGCCCAACUUUCUUAGAGUUGAACUCGGAUCAGGUAGGAAUACCCGCUGAACUUAAGCAUAUCAAUAAGCGGAGGA